AGGCAAGGCACUGGGCUCUCCCCUUGUCUCAACCCCCUCGCUAGCCCCCAACUCAAUUUUGCCCCUUUCUCCAGGACCCCCAUCUCCUCCACCUCUUUCUAUUCAAACUUUCCUCCCUCACAAUUUCCCGCCUAACCCCUCCUUUCCGUCCUCCCCCCCAUCCCCCUACUGUGUGCGUCCACUCCUCCCCCACUCUCCACCUCUGUCCCUUCACACCCCCUGCCUUCUUCUAUCUCCGCCCCCAGCCUCCCCUCUCCCGUACCCCCCCCCCCAACCUUCUCCAACUCCCAUCCCAAAUUCCUCCUCAGCAUCUCCACCCACACGGGCGCCCUUCGCGAGGCGGGGUAAUCCGGGCUCCGGGGUCCUUGGCUUGGGUCCAGCCUGAGGCCCUGGGCGGCGGCGGCGGCGGAAGCAGCAGCAGCGGCGGGCGGGGUUUGGGUUUUUUUUUUUGGUUUUUCUUUUUUUUUAAUAACCCUGGCAGGCUGCUCAGGAAGUGAGUGCCUUCCCGCGCCCCCUCCCCCGGCCACGCCACCGGGCGCUUGCUCCCUCCCUUCCUGUGCGCCGGGCGGUGAGUCUGUGCGUCUACAGCGGACCGAAGGCUCCAGGCACGCAGGGGACCAGUGAUGCUGCCCAGACUGUGAACAGGGGAGGCAGCACUGUAGGGGCUGCCAGCAGCCGGGGCUGGGGAGAGACAUGUGGACACGUAGCCCCUAUGGCUUCUGCCUGCCAGAUCCUCCGCUGGGCCCUUGCCCUGGGGCUGGGCCUCACAUUCAAGGUCACGCAUGCCUUCAGAUCUCAAGAUGAGCUCCUGUCCAGUUUGGAGAGCUAUGAGAUUGCCUUCCCAACUCGAGUGGACCACAACGGGGCAAUGCUGGCCUUCUCUCCACCUGCCUUCCGGAGGCAGCGUCGGGGUGCAGGGGCUACAACUGAGUCCCGCCUAUUCUACAAGGUGGCCGCACCCAGCACUCACUUCCUGCUGAACCUGACCCGCAGCCCCCGUCUCCUGGCAGGGCACGUCUCGGUGGAAUACUGGACACGGGAAGGCCUGGCUUGGCAGAGGGCUGCCCGGGCCCACUGCCUAUACGCUGGCCACCUGCAGGGCCAGGCUGGUAGCUCCCAUGUGGCCGUCAGCACCUGUGGGGGCCUGCAUGGCCUGAUUGUGGCAGAUGAUGAAGAGUAUCUGAUUGAACCCCUGCAAGGUGGACCCAAAGGUCACCGUGGCCCAGAAGAGAGUGGCCCCCAUGUAGUAUACAAGCGUUCCUCUCUGCGUCACCCCCAUCUGGACACAGCCUGUGGAGUGAGAGAUGAGAAACCGUGGAAGGGUCGUCCAUGGUGGUUACGUACCCUGAAGCCACCACCUGCCAGGCCCCUGGGGAAUGAAUCUGAGCGAGGCCAGCUGGGCCUGAAGAGAUCAGUCAGCAGAGAGCGCUAUGUGGAGACCCUGGUGGUAGCCGACAAGAUGAUGGUGGCCUACCAUGGGCGGAGAGAUGUGGAGCAGUAUGUGUUGGCCAUCAUGAACAUUGUUGCCAAACUUUUCCAGGACUCGAGUCUGGGAAACAUCGUCAACAUCCUGGUCACUCGCCUCAUCCUGCUCACAGAGGACCAGCCCACCCUGGAGAUCACCCACCAUGCCGGGAAGUCACUGGACAGCUUCUGUAAGUGGCAGAAAUCCAUCGUGAGCCACAGUGGCCAUGGCAACGCCAUCCCAGAGAAUGGUGUGGCAAACCAUGACACAGCUGUGCUCAUCACACGCUAUGACAUCUGCAUCUACAAGAACAAACCCUGCGGCACUCUAGGCCUGGCCCCUGUGGGUGGAAUGUGUGAGCGUGAGAGGAGCUGCAGUAUCAAUGAAGAUAUCGGCCUGGCCACGGCUUUCACCAUUGCCCAUGAGAUCGGGCACACAUUUGGCAUGAAUCACGAUGGCGUGGGAAACGGCUGUGGGGCCCGUGGGCAGGACCCAGCGAAGCUCAUGGCUGCCCACAUUACCAUGAAGACUAAUCCAUUCGUGUGGUCAUCGUGUAGUCGAGACUACAUCACCAGCUUUCUGGACUCGGGCCUGGGGCUUUGCUUGAAUAACCGGCCUCCUAGACAGGACUUCGUGUACCCAACGGUGGCUCCCGGCCAGGCCUAUGAUGCUGAUGAGCAGUGCCGAUUCCAGCAUGGAGUCAAAUCGCGUCAGUGUAAAUACGGGGAGGUCUGCAGUGAACUGUGGUGUCUGAGCAAGAGCAAUCGGUGCAUCACCAAUAGCAUCCCAGCUGCUGAGGGAACACUGUGCCAAACACACACUAUCGACAAAGGGUGGUGCUACAAACGAGUCUGUGUCCCCUUUGGCUCUCGGCCAGAGGGUGUAGACGGGGCCUGGGGCCCUUGGACUCCAUGGGGUGACUGCAGCAGGUCAUGUGGCGGUGGUGUGUCAUCUUCUAGCCGUCACUGCGACAGUCCCAGGCCAACCAUUGGGGGCAAGUACUGUCUGGGCGAGAGACGAAGGCACCGGUCCUGCAACACCAAUGACUGUCCACCUGGCUCCCAGGACUUCAGAGAAAUGCAGUGCUCUGAAUUUGACAGUGUCCCUUUCCGCGGAAAAUUCUACACGUGGAAGACAUACCGAGGAGGGGGUGUGAAGGCCUGUUCGCUGACUUGCCUAGCAGAAGGCUUCAACUUUUAUACGGAGCGAGCAGCAGCUGUGGUGGAUGGAACACCCUGCCGCCCUGACACGGUGGACAUUUGUGUCAGCGGCGAGUGCAAGCAUGUAGGCUGUGACAGGGUCCUGGGUUCUGAUCUCCGAGAGGACAAAUGCCGUGUGUGUGGGGGUGAUGGCAGUGCCUGUGAGACCAUUGAAGGUGUCUUUAGCCCAGCUUUGCCAGGAACUGGGUAUGAGGACGUCGUCUGGAUCCCCAAAGGCUCGGUCCACAUUUUCAUCCAAGAUCUGAACCUGUCCCUGAGUCACCUGGCCCUAAAGGGGGACCAAGAGUCUCUGCUACUGGAGGGGCUACCUGGGACCCCCCAACCUCACCGCCUUCCCCUGGCUGGAACCACAUUUCAUCUACGGCAGGGGCCGGACCAGGCACAGAGCCUGGAAGCCCUGGGACCCAUUAAUGCAUCUCUCAUCAUCAUGGUGCUGGCCCAGGCAGAGUUGCCUGCUCUCCACUACCGCUUCAAUGCACCCAUUGCCCGGGAUGCACUGCCUCCCUACUCCUGGCACUAUGCCCCCUGGACCAAAUGCUCAGCCCAGUGUGCAGGCGGCAGCCAGGUCCAAGUAGUGGAGUGCCGAAAUCAGCUGGACAGCUCAGCAGUGGCCCCACACUACUGUAGUGGCCACAGUAAAUUGCCCAAGAGGCAGCGUGCCUGCAACACAGAACCAUGUCCACCAGAUUGGGUUGUAGGAAACUGGUCACGCUGCAGCCGUAGCUGUGACGCUGGUGUGCGUAGCCGCUCAGUGGUGUGCCAACGCCGGGUGUCUGCUGCAGAGGAAAAAGCCUUAGACGACAGUGCCUGUCCACAGCCACGCCCACCUGUGCUGGAGGCCUGCCAAGGCCCAAUGUGCCCUCCUGAGUGGGCAACCCUCGACUGGUCUGAGUGUACCCCAAGCUGUGGGCCUGGUCUCCGCCACCGAGUGGUCCUUUGUAAGAGUGCAGAUCAACGAUCUACUCUGCCCCCUGGGCACUGCCUUCCUGCAGCCAAGCCACCAUCUACUAUGCGAUGUAACUUGCGCCGCUGCCCUCCUGCCCGCUGGGUGACCAGUGAGUGGGGUGAGUGACUCCUGUCUUCAGUGUUCCACACAGUGUGGCCUCGGCCAGCAGCAGCGCACAGUGCGCUGCACCAGCCACACCGGCCAGCCAUCUCGAGAGUGCACUGAAGCCUUGCGGCCAUCCACCAUGCAGCAGUGUGAGGCCAAGUGUGACAGUGUGGUGCCGCCUGGAGAUGGCCCAGAAGAAUGCAAGGAUGUGAACAAGGUGGCUUACUGCCCCCUGGUGCUCAAAUUUCAGUUCUGUAGCCGAGCCUACUUCCGCCAGAUGUGCUGCAAAACCUGCCAAGGCCGCUAGGGUACCUGGAACCAACCUGGAGCACAGGCUGAGGCAGGGGACAUCCCACUGGAGAGGGCAUGAGGGAAAGGGGGGCUUGAAUUGAAGGGUGAGAUGCAGUUGAAAGUUAUUUAUUGGGUAACCCUACAGGGCUCCUGACUAAGGGGUGGAGAAGAGCUGGCUACCCAGGGACCCUCUGCUGUAUCUUGCCCAGUUGAUAGUGAAGAGAGAGGACUCCUUGUUGCACACAUAUUUAAGUCCCUAGCACCCCUCCCACCCUUUGAUCGGAAUAUGUACUGUGAAGAGUGGGGGUGGGGAGGGGUGUGCUGGUGCCCUGCCCCCUGCACUGUUCUAUCCCUACACUCUGAGCUGGGGGGAUUUAUAUCUGCUAUGGGGGGGGUAGGCUUGAUACCACCUCCCUGUAGCCCUCCCCCAGACUGACGAAGGGGAAGAUCCACCCCAACCUCUGCCCUGCCUGCCCCAGGGGGGAGUUCAACAUCCAGGCCGUUCCCCAUCAUGGUGCUACAAGCCCUGCCCUGGGGCCCACACACUCCUCACCAAGAAGCCUUACAUUAAUAAAGUUCUGUCUUGUGUAGAUUUCU